UUCUCAACGUUGACCGCCACAUGUCAUACUUUUAUUGGACGUUGAUCGUUACAUGUCAUACAUUCGUGGCGGUCAACGUCCGAUAAAAGCAUAACACGUGGCGGUCAAAGUAA
rnacentral:pre_miRNA from 1 species